rnacentral:rRNA from 1 species
GAUAAACGCUGGCGGCGCACAUAAGACAUGCAAGUCGAACGAAAGUCGUUACAAAACGGAUUGAAGAUUUAUCGGAAAGAAGUUUUGUAACAAUGGCUUUAGUGGCGAACGGGUGAGUAACGCGUGAGGAACCUGCCUUUCAGUGGGGGACAACAGUUGGAAACGACUGCUAAUACCGCAUAAUGUUAUUUGGGGGCAUCCCUGAAUAACCAAAGAUUUAUUGCUGAAAGAUGGUCUCGCGUCUGAUUAGCUAGUUGGCGGGGUAACGGCCCACCAAGGCGACGAUCAGUAGCCGGACUGAGAGGUUGAACGGCCACAUUGGAACUGAGAUACGGUCCAGACUCCUACGGGAGGCAGCAGUGGGGAAUAUUGCACAAUGGGCGAAAGCCUGAUGCAGCAACGCCGCGUGAGGGAAGACGGUUUUCGGAUUGUAAACCUCUGUCUUUGGUGAAGAUAAUGACGGUAGCCAAGGAGGAAGCACGGCUAACUACGUG